rnacentral:rRNA from 1 species
UACGUAGGGUGCGAGCGUUAAUCGGAAUUACUGGGCGUAAAGUGUGCGCAGGCGGCCGCGCAAGUCGAGUGUGAAAUCCCCGAGCUUAACUUGGGAAUUGCGCUCGAAACUACGUGGCUGGAGUGUGGCAGAGGAAGGUGGAAUUCCACGUGUAGCGGUGAAAUGCGUAGAUAUCUGGAAGAACACCAGUGGCGAAGGCGCUCUACUGGGCCGUAACUGACACUGAGGGACGAAAGCUAGGGGAGCGAAAGGG